UCAAACUUGGUCAUUUAGAGGAAGUAAAAGUCGUAACAAGGUUUCCGUAGGUGAACCUGCGGAAGGAUCAUUAAUAAAGAUCGACCUCUUUUGGUUUAAAUAUGGACGAUCAAAAAAAUCCAUAUCCACCUUGUGUGCACUCAUUGACCGUUCGCUUUGGCAGGAUUGAGGCCUUUGGGAGGGAAAGAGAAAUUUCCUUUCCCGGUGGCGGCCUGCCAGAGUUUUUCGACAUCAUCAAAAACCUAACCAAUCAAUCUUCAGACUGAACCCUCGUCUCGAUUCUCUGUAAUCGAAUCGAACCAAAUACAACUUUCAACAACGGAUCUCUUGGCUCUCGCAUCGAUGAAGAACGCAGC
rnacentral:misc_RNA from 1 species